GAGCAGGCUGAAAGAAAUAAAUGACGUCUUGAUAUACCUGACAAGGGCGUGGCCAGGGGAAGGGGCAGGCCCCGCCCUCCCUUCGAGCAGCAAAAAAUACAGUAAACGUAUGAGACAUUAUUUAAGAUACAGGAGGAAAUGAAAAAAACCGCGUUUUGGGCCCCCUCCUUUUAAAAAUCGUGGCUACGCUUCUUCCUGACCAGCUUGACAAGUGGCAAAUGUAAAUAAUUACAGGGGGAUAUGGCGGGAAAAUGUUUAAUAAUAUUAAGGCCCAUUGCAGUAUACACUGAAUUACGGGUCUGUCAGCAACAAUUAAACAGCCAGCGAUAAAUAAUGGGAAAAUACGGAUGUGUCAUUGUUCUAACUGGCAUUUCACAGUGACGAAGUGGUUGAAUCUGCGGGUGGAGCCAACCGACGGGUAGCAAGUCUGGUGGCCAGAUCUUAGAUUCAAAUUCGCUGACAUGAAAAUGUGUUUUGCAAAUGGCAUUUUAUUUCACAUUCUUUGACAUUCCUGAGCUCUAGCAAAUGGGCAAUUAGUUGCAACUUGUUCUACGUUUUCACCAACAGACCAAGAUAAACAAAGAAAGUCCCCCUUGGACCCCAGUUUGACACCCGACUGGAGAAAUCUAAAUUUGUAUAAAGAAACAUUUGAAGAAAAGCAGAAUUAACUUCGUGCUAGAGAAAUGCUCGCGGGUUAAAUGCGAAGUGUACUUAAAGCGAUUUGAGAUGUCCUACGUGCAUUUACACGGAAAACCCAAGUGACUGUUCUCCCAUGGACGGUCAGAUAUAUUAUACAUUUCUGGCAGGCCUUGCCGGCGUAUAGCGGAGGGCAAGCGCAUCUGAAGUCUCCGUCUCGGUAUGAUGGGUAACACCUCCCUCCAUGGAGACACGCCCCUCCAGCACACGGGCUCUAGGAUAAAACAAGAUGGCACCACAUUGAUACAUAAGCGCUCGGGCACUAGAACGACAAAGCUUUUAUAAACGCAAAAACAUAAACACGGUCAUUUGCCAUGUAAACAUAUCACGGGCUCUAUAAGAUAAAGACAACCACAAGAUACAGGUACACGGCCGGGAUCAAUAAAAAACAUUUCUCGUUAACCACAAAAACUAUAAGACAUCAGUACGAUUGAAUUUUGAGACAGAAUACAUCAAUAUCGUUGAAUCAGAAGCACUAAAC